ensembl:rRNA 5S_rRNA 5S ribosomal RNA
GUAUACAGCCAUACCAUCCUGAACGUGCCUGAUCUCAUCUCAUCUCAGAAGCUAAGUAGGGUUGGGCCUGGUUAGUACUUGGCUGGGAGACCACCUGGGAAUACUGGGUGCUGUAGGCU